UACGUAGGGACCGAGCGUUGUCCGGAAUCAUUGGGCGUAAAGAGCGUGUAGGCGGCUACUUAAGUCCUGCGUGAAAUCCUGCGGCUCAACCGCAGGCGGUCGUGGGAAACUGGGUGGCUAGAGUGCGGGAGAGGAGAGUAGAAUUCCUGGUGUAGCGGUGGAAUGCGCAGAUAUCUGGAAGAACACCCGUGGCGAAGGCGGCUCUCUGGAACGCAACUGACGCUGAGACACGAAAGCGUGGGGAGCAAACAGG
rnacentral:rRNA from 1 species